rnacentral:rRNA from 1 species
UACGAAGGGGGCUAGCGUUGCUCGGAAUCACUGGGCGUAAAGCGCACGUAGGCGGCUUCUUAAGUCAGGGGUGAAAUCCUGGAGCUCAACUCCAGAACUGCCCUUGAUACUAAGAAGCUUGAGUCCGGGAGAGGUGAGUGGAACUGCGAGUGUAGAGGUGAAAUUCGUAGAUAUUCGCAAGAACACCAGUGGCGAAGGCGGCUCACUGGCCCAUUACUGACGCUGAGGCACGAAAGCGUGGGGAGCAACCAGG